rnacentral:rRNA from 1 species
GAGCGAACGGGGAGCAGCCCAGAGUCUGAAUCAGCUUGUGUGUUAGUGGAAGCGUCUGGAAAGUCGCACGGUACAGGGUGACAGUCCCGUACACGAAAGCACACAGGUUGUGAACUCGAAGAGUAGGGCGGGACACGUGGUAUCCUGUCUGAAUAUGGGGGGACCAUCCUCCAAGGCUAAAUACUCCUGACUGACCGAUAGUGAACCAGUACCGUGAGGGAAAGGUGAAAAGCACCCCGACGAGGGGAGUGAAAUAGACCUGAAACCGGACACCUACAAACAGACGGAGCCCAAGAUGCGUUCUGGGUGACGUCGUACCUUUUGUAUUAUGGGCCAGCGACUUAAUUUAACGAGCAAGCUUAAGCCGAUAGGCGUAGGCGUAGCGAAAGCGAGUCUGAAUAGGGCGUCAAGUUCGUUGUAUUAGACCCGAAACCUAGUGAUCUAGCCAUGAGCAGGUUGAAGGUGAGGUAACACUCACUGGAGGACCGAACGGGUGCCUGUUGAAAAAGGCUCCGAUGACUUGUGGUUAGGGGUGAAAGGCCAAUCAAACUGGGAAAUAGCUGGUUCUCCGCGAAAGAUAUUUAGGUAUCGCCUCGGACGAAUACCUCAGGGGGUAGAGCACUGGAUGGGCUAGGGGGACUUACCGUCUUACCAAACCCAACCAAACUCCGAAUACCUGAGAGUACUAUCCGGGAGUCACACGGCGGGUGCUAACGUCCGUCGUGGAGAGGGAAACAACCCUGACCUACAGCUAAGGCCCCCAAUUCGUGGCUAAGUGGGAAAGGAUGUGGAAAUCCCAAAACAACCAGGAGGUUGGCUUAGAAGCAGCCAUCCUUUAAAGAAAGCGUAACAGCUCACUGGUCUAAAUAAGGGUUUCUGCGCCGAAGAUGUAACGGGGCUCAAGCCACGAGCCGAAGCUUAGGGUGCAUCGCAAGAUGCGCGGUAGCGGAGCGUUCUGUAAGCCUGCGAAGGGCGACCCGUGAGGGCGCCUGGAGGUAUCAGAAGUGCGAAUGCUGGCAUGAGUAACGACAAACACUGUGAAAGACAGUGUCGCCGAAAGUCCAAGGGUUCCUGCGUAAAGUUAAUCUUCGCAGGGUUAGCCGGUCCCUAAGGCGAGGCCGACAGGCGUAGUCGAUGGGAAUGCAGUGAAUAUUCUGCAGCCAGUGGAUGGUGACGAAUUGCGUAUGUUGUCUGACCUUACUGGAUUGGUCGGGCCUCGAAGCAGUUCCAGGAAAUAGCCUCCACAUUAGACCGUACCCGAAACCGACACAGGUGGACUGGUAGAGUAUACCAAGGCGCUUGAGAGAACUAUGUUGAAGGAACUCGGCAAUUUACCUCCGUAACUUCGGGAUAAGGAGGCCCAUUGCUCGCGCAAGCGGGCAGUGGGGGCACAGACCAGGGGGUGGCAACUGUUUAACAAAAACACAGGGCUCUGCGAAAUCGUAAGAUGACGUAUAGGGUCUGACGCCUGCCCGGUGCCGGAAGGUUAAGAGGAGAGGUGCAAGCCUUGAAUCGAAGCCCCGGUAAACGGCGGCCGUAACUAUAACGGUCCUAAGGUAGCGAAAUUCCUUGUCGGGUAAGUUCCGACCCGCACGAAAGGUGUCACGAUCUGGGCGCUGUCUCGACGGAGGCCUCGGCGAAAUUGAAGUGGCUGUGAAGAUGCGGCCACCCCGCAGCAGGACAAAAAGACCCCGUGGAGCUUUACUGCAGGUUGACAUUGAAUUUUGGGAUUAAAUGUACAGGAUAGGUGGGAGACAAAGAAGCAAGCUC